GGGCCCCGGAGGGAACGGUAGCGACGGGAGGGAGGAAAAGCGGGGAGCAAGCGACGGGACGCGGACCGGGCCACGACGCUGCAGCCUGCGCUCCUCCGGAGAGCCUGAGGCGGCGGGGGCCGGGGGGAGGCACUGCGCGAGGUGAGCUGAGGUACUUCGUAGAUGGCCUUUUGGAUUUUGUAUUUAAACAUUUCUGGAAGAAAAAAAGCAUUUGCAUUCUCGAGAAGAAAAUUCCAACAACAGUUGCAAAAAAUAACCUAUUUUUGCAAUGCAAAAAAAUUAAAAAAAUAAGUUAUAAAAGGUAAGUUUUUGUUGAGCUAAAAGAAAAAAGAAAAAUUAAGCAUUAAGACAACGUUCUGCUUAAAUAUGUACCCUUACACACAAUCACUUCGUGUUUUCUUUGUUACAGGUCCUCUGCUUCGCUGCUCAGUUCUGCCUGCUGCAUUCCCUGGAGAGCCCAUUUUUUCCAUUCAUGUUUCUGUAUGUAAAGAACAAAUCUGAAAAAGGCUAGAUUUCCCUUAAUAGCAGCAACAAGAAGAAAGCAUUUUCAGUGUUUUUACCUGAAGCAAAAUGUUUUAGAUAAACAAAAUGGUUUUCUGUCUAAACUUCAAAAAAAACAAGUUUUGCCUGAAGACAUACCCUACUGACUCAUUUAGGUGUGGCUUCAGUACUUUACAUCAGAGUUCACAGGCUUUUUGCCACAACUUUUAUUAAAUUUAUGAUAUUAUCAAUUUAUGAUAUUAUCAAUUCUGUAAUAUAGUAACAGAAUGAAUGUGUUUAAUAUUUUCAUUAUUUCAAAUACUACUUGGACAAGGACUACAGUAGUUAUGGAAGUCAGCAUGUCAAAAAUAAUAAUUAAAAAAUGCAAUUGUGGAAAUUGCGCAGUAGUCAUCUGGUCUAGUAUCUACUCAAAGUAAAUUCACUUCACAUAAAUUUCGAAUGCCUGAUUACUUUUUUUUUUUUCUUGUGGGAACAAGGCAGGGGGAAAUCAAAGUUUUAGCUCUUCAUUAAACAGAACAAUCUCCAGUCACUGAUAAGGGCAAUCUAAGCCAAAUUGGUCAAAAAAGUUGCAGUUAAGUAAGCAGAACCGAUACUUGUUUUGAAUAAUUAAAUUCAUUAAAUUAUAUUCAGUACAAUGUAUAACCACUUCUCGCUCAUGAGGUAUUCCCAUUUAAAUGGCUAUUUCUCAUUUCAGUAAAGGCUUCAAAGUCAGGCAGAUAUGAAAUGAUAGCUAGACUGUAGUACAUUAUUAGAAAAUAUAUUCCAGAUUGGAAUUCAUUAAACAUAAAAGCAGUAUACCAAGAAGGCAGCUCCCUGUUUUUCAGAAUGUAUUCUACUUCUUAGUUUUUUAAUGCUGAAGAGCGACUUUUUACAUUUCAAAACUGAAAUACUGAUGUCUAAAAUAUUUAUGUUUUUGCUUUCUUUCAGUUUCUUUGAGCAUGUUAUUAUUCUAGUGUCUAAACUUUGACUCAGGCUUCAAGAAAACAACAGCCCACAGCCUUCCAGUUUCUCGAAGAUUUCAUGUAUGCGAGAGAGGGAGGUUUUGACUAAGUGGGAUUAGAAUGGGAGCUGGACCUCUAUGGGCACAGGUGUUUUUGCCUAAGGCUCCUGAAAAACUGAAGUCCAUAUUAAUAGUUAUCUUACUGGAGCAUUCCCAUCAGCACUAAGAGUUCAUUAGCUUACUCCAGGGGUCUUACCCCUUAGAGAUGUUAGGAACUUCUACCCAAGCGAUCACUUUUAUCUUUCCCCUCUCCUUUAGGACCUUCCCUUUGUUACACCUACGGAGCACUCUCGGGUAUUAGUGGUUCUGCAUUAAUACUUCAAAUUACAUACAAGCUACAUAAGGAUGUGUCAGGUCAUGGAACAUCCCUGUUACUGUUUCAACUUCCUUACACAUUCCUUCAGGUUCUAGACCACAAUAAUAGGCUCUGUUGUUACUCAAACUGAACAGCAUGUAGUAUGUUCAAUGUAAACAGAGAUUCUAAAUUUUCAAGUAAGAUGUAAAUGCCUAAAUCUCCAAAAAAUAGGAACUGGCACAUUUCUGCCUAGCCUUUGGGCACUUCUUUUUUCCAAACAAAAGUUUUUUUUUUAAGACAAUCCCAGCUUGUGAUUAGGGCCCUCUCAUAUAGGAUGUGAAAGAUUGAAUUUUUAUUUAAACCUAAUCGCCAUCAUACAGGAGUGGACACCAGCACCACUGACAGCUUAAAAAGGAGAGAUCCCUGCUCAGGGCUCAAAUCCAGAGAGGAGGGAGGGUAGGUACUUUCAGAUUUCAGUUAACAGUGUGAUCAGGAAACUUUAACAUCCUCUGGAGGAGGCAUGCAGAGCAGAAGCCUAGAAAGUGCCUUCAUAACCUGUAUCUUCUUUAGUAUCUACAGAAAGGUCCCAGGAAGACUCGCCUCUGCACUUGAGUGUGUAACUACUGAUCCAGUUUAAGAGACAAAUUACCUCCACUACCUUGCUUGAUUGGAAAGCAAAUUAAUUUUACUACAAACAAACAAGUAAAAAGAGAAUACAUUUCUCUUACUAAAAUUAUUCAGAAGAUGGGACACCAAAGAAGAGCUCAUAGCUAAAUAAAUGUCUUCUUGUUUCUACA
rnacentral:lncRNA from 1 species